GUUUCUAUAGGGCAAACUACUUCGAAAGAGUAGGGCGCAAAGCCAUGGGUCUAAGGCACUUUUUGUGCAUGAUCGCCAGGCUGCGGGG
rnacentral:ncRNA from 1 species